AGUGAACGCUGGCGGUAGGCCUAACACAUGCAAGUCGAACGGCAGCACAGUAAGAGCUUGCUCUUACGGGUGGCGAGUGGCGGACGGGUGAGGAAUACAUCGGAAUCUACUUUUUCGUGGGGGAUAACGUAGGGAAACUUACGCUAAUACCGCAUACGACCUACGGGUGAAAGCAUGGGAUCUUCGGACCUUGCGCGAUUGAAUGAGCCGAUGUCGGAUUAGCUAGUUGGCGGGGUAAAGGCCCACCAAUGCGACGAUCCGUAGCUGGUCUGAGAGGAUGAUCAGCCACACGGGAACUGAGACACGGUCCAGACUCCUACGGGAGGCAGCAGUGGGGAAUAUUGGACAAUGGGCGCAAGCCUGAUCCAGCCAUACCGCGUGGGUGAAGAAGGCCUUCGGGUUGUAAAGCCCUUUUGUUGGGAAAGAAAAGCAGCAGGUUAAUACCCCGCUGUUCUGACGGUACCCAAAGAAUAAGCACCGGCUAACUUCGUG
rnacentral:rRNA from 1 species